AUUGAACGCUAGCGGCAAGCUUAACACAUGCAAGUCGAGCGGUAACAGGAAGAAGCUUGCUUCUUUGCUGAUGAGCGGCGAACGGGUGAGUAAUGCCUGGGAAUAUGCCUUGAUGUGGGGGAUAACUAUUGGAAACGAUAGCUAAUACCGCAUAAUCUCUACGGAGCAAAGGGGGGGACCUUAUGGCCUCUCGCAUCAAGAUUAGCCCAGGUGGGAUUAGCUAGUUGGUGAGGUAAAGGCUUACCAAGGCAACGAUCUCUAGCUGGUCUGAGAGGAUGAUCAGCCACACUGGAACUGAGACACGGUCCAGACUCCAACGGGAGGCAGCAGUGGGGAAUAUUGCACAAUGGGGGAAACCCUGAUGCAGCUAUGCCGCGUGUAUGAAGAAGGCCUUCGGGUUGUAAAGUACUUUCAGUCGUGAGGAAGGAUGGGUAAUUAAUAAUUGUUCAUCUUGACGUUAGCGGCAGAAGAAGCACCGGCUAACUCCGUGCCAGCAGCCGCGGUAAUACGGAGGGUGCGAGCGUUAAUCGGAAUUACUGGGCGUAAAGCGCAUGCAGGCGGUAAGUUUAGCGAGAUGUGAAAGCCCGGGGCUUAACCUCGGAACAGCAUUUCGAACUGGCUUACUAGAGUCCUGUAGAGGGGGGUAAUCCCGCG
rnacentral:rRNA from 1 species